ACACUCCUACGGGAGGCAGCAGUGGGGAAUUUUGGACAAUGGGCGAAAGCCUGAUCCAGCAAUGCCGCGUGCAGGAUGAAGGCCUUCGGGUUGUAAACUGCUUUUGUACGGAACGAAAAAGCUUCUCCUAAUACGAGAGGCCCAUGACGGUACCGUAAGAAUAAGCACCGGCUAACUACGUGCCAGCAGCCGCGGUAAUACGUAGGGUGCGAGCGUUAAUCGGAAUUACUGGGCGUAAAGCGUGCGCAGGCGGUUAUGUAAGACAGAUGUGAAAUCCCCGGGCUCAACCUGGGAACUGCAUUUGUGACUGCAUGGCUAGAGUACGGUAGAGGGGGAUGGAAUUCCGCGUGUAGCAGUGAAAUGCGUAGAUAUGCGGAGGAACACCGAUGGCGAAGGCAAUCCCCUGGACCUGUACUGACGCUCAUGCACGAAAGCGUGGGGAGCAAACAGGAUUAGAAACCCUAGUAGUCCCAUGA
rnacentral:rRNA from 1 species